rnacentral:rRNA from 1 species
GAGCGAACCUAGCUUGCUAGGUGAGCGGCGAACGGGUGAGUAACACGUAGGAAUCUGCCCGAUAGUGGGGGACAACGUCUCGAAAGGGACGCUAAUACCGCAUACGCCCUACGGGGGAAAGCAGGGGAUCUUCGGACCUUGCGCUAUCGGAUGAGCCUGCGUCGGAUUAGCUAGUUGGUGGGGUAAAGGCCCACCAAGGCGACGAUCCGUAGCUGGUCUGAGAGGAUGAUCAGCCACACCGGAACUGAGACACGGUCCGGACUCCUACGGGAGGCAGCAGUGGGGAAUAUUGGACAAUGGGGGCAACCCUGAUCCAGCCAUGCCGCGUGUGUGAAGAAGGCCUUCGGGUUGUAAAGCACUUUAAGCUGGGAGGAAGGUUUCUUGGCUAAUAUCCAAGAGAAUUGACGUUACCAGCAGAAUAAGCACCGGCUAACUCCGUG